ACAAAUCGUCCCUGACCUCUCCCACCAUAUAUUGCAGUAAAGCCCUUCAUUGUUUCUCUUUAGACCUUGCUUUCGAAAGUCAAAGAAGAAUUGGAGGCAGAAAAGCGGGAACUCGUGAGAACCCCGGAAAAGAGAUCUCUGGAAGUAGAAUAUCUAAAUGAUGACUUGAAGCAGCUGAAUGAUAAAUUAGUGGAAGUGAACACCUCCAAGAUGGCUCUGCAGAUGAAGGUGGAGGAACCUGAAGCUUCAGAAGUGAAUAUUAAGUACAAGGAGAAGCAUAUGGAACAAGAGAAGGAGCCCCUGCAUGGCCAGAUGUCUUGGUUUAAAGAGGAGCUGAAGGCAAAGAC